GACGAACGCUGGCGGCGUGCUUAACACAUGCAAGUCGAACGGAAAGGCCCUGCUUUUGUGGGGUGCUCGAGUGGCGAACGGGUGAGUAACACGUGAGUAACCUGCCCUUGACUUUGGGAUAACUUCAGGAAACUGGGGCUAAUACCGGAUAGGAGCUCCUGCUGCAUGGUGGGGGUUGGAAAGUUUCGGCGGUUGGGGAUGGACUCGCGGCUUAUCAGCUUGUUGGUGGGGUAGUGGCUUACCAAGGCUUUGACGGGUAGCCGGCCUGAGAGGGUGACCGGCCACAUUGGGACUGAGAUACGGCCCAGACGCCAACGUGAGGCAGCAGUGGGGAAUAUUGCACAAUGGGCGGAAGCCUGAUGCAGCAACGCCGCGUGCGGGAUGACGGCCUUCGGGUUGUAAACCGCUUUCGCCUGUGACGAAGCGUGAGUGACGGUAAUGGGUAAAGAAGCACCGGCUAACUACGUG
rnacentral:rRNA from 1 species